ACAGGGCAGAAUGAACCAAUGUUACAGUACCAUGGAAAAUCUGGUCUCAGCUCUUCCUCCACCCUUCUCUGAGACCAUGGAGGGCAGUUUGUUGGGCGUGGUGACACCGAAUCCAUCUGUGAGGACUACUAGUUAAGCAAACGACCCAUUUUCCUAACACCAUUAAACUGAAGAAUGAUGGAAAUGGGAGUGAAUGGGCCCACCCUAAAGCCCUAAGGUGGCUGGGUGAUCAGUAAGUCUGGGCAAAUUUGGAGCCGAUCCUGUGAAGGAAACCACCUCACCCCCUGCACUUCAUGGAAUGUGUUCUGGUUGAGCUUCUUGGCUCUCCAUCUACUUUUCAUAAUGACCAGAGCUUGUCUGAGCAGAGCUCGCUGCAUGUGCUAGGGUGCUUUAUAGGCACAGCUCCGGUUCAUUUUUCCAACGGUCGGUUCACAAACCCUGGGCCAAUCCCAUUUCCAAUUUACUGUGGAGGCUAGAGAAGUAGAAAGACUUGCCCAGAACCAGACAACCAAUGAGUGCCUCCUAAACCCACAUCUGUGUAGCUAAAGAGGAACUCUGGACGGAAUGGAGAGAAGGCAUCAGGCUCAAGGAGACAGGUCAUAUAUAUUCUGUAAUAGCCCUUUGUUUCCUAAUCUAACACUGUCCAAUACUGGCAACUCUGCCUUUGUUAUAGAAUUGAAGCUAGGAUGCGACAACAAGCAUGGUGCUUCUGCAAAGAGACAGCUAAAACAAAACUUAAUAAAAGAGAAGCAUAGCCCAGUUCAUUAAAUGGCUAGUUAAAUAAUGUGCCUGACAAAUGUCAGCUCUUUUCUCUUUUUCUACCCCUGAUCUCUGGCUGCCAUGUCCCUUUGGGGUUCCCCCCUUCUGCUGAUCUUCCUGUCUUCCUUCAUGGCUCAGCCCUUUCUCAGUGACGCUCAUAUUGUUCCCCAGAGAGAACCUUCUGCGCCACCUAGAGGACACUUUACUGGGUUUUCUGAGAAGAAACCUUGGGAUGCUGAGAACUGAGGGAAGAAGGCUGCUGAGAAAGGCGGGCCACUGUCCAGAAGUCAAAGGUGAUGGAUGGCAACAACCACUAUGCCUACCUAAGACGUUCAUCCCGUCCUUGAACUCCAGGCCCUUCUUGAUAACGAUCUUAGUUUCUUCAGGGGCCUCAUUCAUGGUUUCAUUCAACAUGGAGAUGACCGCCUUGGUGGUAUUGGCCUCCUCAGAUGGAGGUGCCACCAGAACUUUCUUUGUCACUGUCUGAAUCUAAUGGAGCAGGAAGGAAAAAGAAUAAAGGUGAAGGUCAGUCUAAAAGGUCAACAACAACCCAGCCAGUCAGCCAUACACUUGAACCUUCCCAAGAUGUUAACUACAACUAUGAAAUGCCAAAACAAGGCUAAUAAAACUGGGGAAUAUUUUAUGA
rnacentral:lncRNA from 1 species